rnacentral:rRNA from 1 species
UACGGGGGGUGCGAGCGUUGUCCGGAAUCACUGGGCGUAAAGGGCGCGUAGGCGGUUUGAUAAGGGUGUGGUGAAAGUCCGGGGCUCAACUCCGGAUCUGCCGUGCCGACUGUCAAACUCGAGGACUGUAGAGGCAGACGGAAUUCCGGGUGUAGCGGUGGAAUGCGUAGAGAUCCGGAGGAAGACCGGUGGCGAAGGCGGUCUGCUGGGCAGUUUCUGACACUGAGGCGCGACAGCGUGGGGAGCAAACAGG